GGGGAUGUAGCUUGGUGGUAGAGAACGUGCCUAGCAUGCACAAGGCCCUGCAUUCGAUUCCCAGCACUUCA
rnacentral:tRNA from 1 species